rnacentral:tRNA from 1 species
GUUAAUUUAGUUUAAUUAUAGAAUGUGUAACUUGUAAUUACAGGGAUAAAUUAGCU